rnacentral:rRNA from 1 species
GUCUAUGGCCACACCACCCUGAACAUGCCUGAUCUCAUCUGAUCUUGGAAGCUAAGCAGGUUCGGGCCUGGUUAGUACUUGGACGGGAGAAAUUACUAUGUUAAAAAGU